GACGCACGGAGGGCCGCACGGCGACGGCCCCGCCGCCCCGGCGCCCGGGAGGGGCGCGGAGAGCCGGGCGGGGGGAGGGGAGCCGCCGAGCGGACGGGAAGCAACCGAAGGUGGCGACGGACCGGAAGCGGAAGUGACCCCGCGCGCCCCGCCCUCUGCACCUCGCCCGGCAGCCUCUACUUCCGCGACCAAACCCUCCCGGCAUCACUUCCGGCGCACGGGACUGCGUCUGUGCACCCUUACGUCACUUCCGCAUCAACACACUCAGCUGUAAAGACGCGGGAAGCAUCCGAGCUACCACCCGAGCCCUGCACGCUGGGCGCCCACAAGGUACUCAGGCCAGCCUCCCUCCUUCGGUACCACCCUCCACACCCACGACCGAAAGAGAAGGGCGGACACACUGGACACAGAAGGGGCUCCAUAAAGACAUGAAUACAGGAAGCUACUCUAACAUGGAAGACCCAACAACUACUGCCCUACUUCAACAAACAACCAGCUUGACUUUGAAGGGAGACAGAGUGGGGAUACAAGAUAAAACUGAUAGGAGAAACUGCGGGGCCAAAAGCUUGCUAUACAACUCUGACAUCCUGAGUUCAAGCCCCUCAACCACUUUCGGAAAGACCUGACUUCUCUCCUGAAAGUUGUCCCAUGUUUGCACAAAUACAAAAGUGGGAGCUGAGGACCAAACCCAGGGCCUUCUACUACUGAGCUAAAUCCCCGACCCACCCCCCACGCUUGUCUUUCAACACUUAGAAGGCUAAGGCAGGAGGCUCAGUCUCAAAAAAAAGUAUACAGUAAGCCCCUUCACAAGUCCUAUCCUAACUAAGAUACCUAUCAAUAAAGGUGGGAGAGAGGAAACCACACUAUACAUGUACUUCCUACACCAUACACCCCCACAUUCUGACAAGUACACGAGCAUAGAACACCAACAACUGAACGUGAAAGAUGUCCUAAGAUCUGACAACCACUCGGAACUCUCACUCAGAUGCUCAGUCCUUUGCCUUCAGGGUCCUGCAGGGGUGGCCUGUUUCCAAGGCAGUGUGACAAGGAGCUGAGAGGCUGCUGAAAAUCACACAACAGGCCUCAGUGCUAGCUGCCACUUCAGUGGUGACUAGUGGCCAACUCUGGGAAGCUGUGUUCAGGAUCCA